rnacentral:rRNA from 1 species
CCUACGGGUGGCAGCAGUGAGGAAUAUUGGUCAAUGGACGAGAGUCUGAACCAGCCAAGUAGCGUGAAGGAUGACUGCCCUAUGGGUUGUAAACUUCUUUUAUAAAGGAAUAAAACGAGGCACGUGUGCCUUUUUGCAUGUACUUGAUGAAUAAGGAUCGGCUAACUCCGUGCCAGCAGCCGCGGUAAUACGGAGGAUCCGAGCGUUAUCCGGAUUUAUUGGGUUUAAAGGGAGCGUAGAUGGGUUGUUAAGUCAGUUGUGAAAGUUUGCGGCUCAACCGUAAAAUUGCAAUUGAUACUGGCAGUCUUGAGUACAGGUGAGGUAGGCGGAAUUCGUGGUGUAGCGGUGAAAUGCGUAGAUAUCACGAAGAACCCCGAUUGCGAAGGCAGCUUACUAAACUGUAACUGACAUUGAUGCUCGAAAGUGUGGGUAUCGAACAGGAUUAGAUACCCCGGUAGUC